GUUUAAACCACCUGCCUGCCUAAGUGGCAAAGCUAGCUGCUCACAGGACAGCUCUGAAUCUGACUAAGCUUAUUCCAUCAAACUUCACUCCAGAAUUUUCAAAUCACCGAACCCCAAAGUUAUGGGAAUUUGUUGCCAAGGGAGAAAGACAGUGGAAUUUCUGCUUUCCUGAUCUGCAGAAACUAUAAAACUGACCCAAUAGAUAUGGAUAUCGCCUCAUCAGCAAAGCAGCACUCUCGCAUAUUCUUUCCUGAAGGUAUAAUCCAACAUUAAAUUCAGGAUUUAUAUAGUUUCAAUAUGCUCCUCAUUGAUUCCAGAUUAGACUGUAUUGCCUGCCCUCAUGAGAUGUGUUUCUCCUCCAAGAAUUCCUGAUAGUCCUCUGGUGUGUAUGUGUGUGCACUCAUGCAUUUGGCUUUCAGCUACAGCCACCAUAUGAAUAGAAAGAAUGGACAUACAAAGAAUCACAUUUGCCUUCCACUUCUGCAAUUUGCUGACCCUAGCAGACUACACGAACUAGAUGAUUGGAACUCCUCAAGGGUAACCUCUGUAAGACUGCAGACUUAAAGGUUGUCAGCAACUUGGCUUAUAUCUGCAGUGGCUUUGUUUCUCUCCAGUGCAUAAACCAAAGGGCUUGAUGCUUCCUGUCUGGUUUCUAGCUCUGACUGAUGUAGAGGGUAAUGUAAACACCAUAAAGAAUCCAUAGGGAAGUUCAUAUAAGGCCAAAAACGGAAUCUGAAAAUAAAGUAUCUAAAUAUACAUGCUAAC
rnacentral:lncRNA from 1 species